GGCUUAGACGGUCGAAUGGCGUAGUGGUUAGUGACCCUGACUGCUAUGCCGAAGGUCCCGGGUUCGAUUCCCGGCUGGGGCA
rnacentral:tRNA from 1 species